rnacentral:rRNA from 1 species
GACGAACGCUGGCGGCGUGCCUAAUACAUGCAAGUAGAACGCUGAAGAGAGGAGCUUGCUCUUCUUGGAUGAGUUGCGAACGGGUGAGUAACGCGUAGGUAACCUGCCUUGUAGCGGGGGAUAACUAUUGGAAACGAUAGCUAAUACCGCAUAACAAUGGAUGACACAUGUCAUUUAUUUGAAAGGGGCAAUUGCUCCACUACAAGAUGGACCUGCGUUGUAUUAGCUAGUAGGUGAGGUAACGGCUCACCUAGGCGACGAUACAUAGCCGACCUGAGAGGGUGAUCGGCCACACUGGGACUGAGACACGGCCCAGACUCCUACGGGAGGCAGCAGUAGGGAAUCUUCGGCAAUGGGGGCAACCCUGACCGAGCAACGCCGCGUGAGUGAAGAAGGUUUUCGGAUCGUAAAGCUCUGUUGUAAGUCAAGAACGAGUGUGAGAGUGGAAAGUUCACACUGUGACGGUAGCUUACCAGAAAGGGACGGCUAACUACGUGCCAGCAGCCGCGGUAAUACGUAGGUCCCGAGCGUUGUCCGGAUUUAUUGGGCGUAAAGCGAGCGCAGGCGGUUUGAUAAGUCUGAAGUUAAAGGCUGUGGCUCAACCAUAGUUCGCCUUGGAAACUGUCAAACUUGAGUGCAGAAGGGGAGAGUGGAAUUCCAUGUGUAGCGGUGAAAUGCGUAGAUAUAUGGAGGAACACCGGUGGCGAAAGCGGCUCUCUGGUCUGUAACUGACGCUGAGGCUCGAAAGCGUGGGGAGCGAACAGGAUUAGAUACCCUGGUAGUCCACGCCGUAAACGAUGAGUGCUAGGUGUUGGAUCCUUUCCGGGAUUCAGUGCCGCAGCUAACGCAUUAAGCACUCCGCCUGGGGAGUACGACCGCAAGGUUGAAACUCAAAGGAAUUGACGGGGGCCCGCACAAGCGGUGGAGCAUGUGGUUUAAUUCGAAGCAACGCGAAGAACCUUACCAGGUCUUGACAUCCCGAUGCUAUUUCUAGAGAUAGGAAGUUACUUCGGUACAUCGGUGACAGGUGGUGCAUGGUUGUCGUCAGCUCGUGUCGUGAGAUGUUGGGUUAAGUCCCGCAACGAGCGCAACCCCUAUUGUUAGUUGCCAUCAUUCAGUUGGGCACUCUAGCGAGACUGCCGGUAAUAAACCGGAGGAAGGUGGGGAUGACGUCAAAUCAUCAUGCCCCUUAUGACCUGGGCUACACACGUGCUACAAUGGUUGGUACAACGAGUUGCGAGUCGGUGACGGCAAGCUAAUCUCUUAAAGCCAAUCUCAGUUCGGAUUGUAGGCUGCAACUCGCCUACAUGAAGUCGGAAUCGCUAGUAAUCGCGGAUCAGCACGCCGCGGUGAAUACGUUCCCGGGCCU